CAGACAGUCAGGGACUCUUCCCCAAGCCUAACUGGUGCCUCCCUCCCUGGCACUAUGGUCAGUGGGAGAAGCCCCUUGGCAGGUAAACUCAGGGCCACAGGGAGGGUCCCUCUGAUGACGUGGCCUUUGAAGGAUGAAUCAGGCAAAGCCUGAGGCAGAGCUGGCAUUGAUGAGGUAGGCUCUUUCCUCCUCUCCUCUAAUUCCCUGCCUCUCCCCACUCCACAGCUGCUCCCUGGGUCCUGGCCAGGUGCCAAGAUUGGGAUAGAUGAGACAUGUGACCCCCGAGGGGCUGUCAGCACCGCUGAUCCCCAAGAGCAUGUUAAACACUGGGGAGCACGUCACGUUUGCCCUGCCCAUGCUUGACCUGCCAAGCAGGUCAUCUGAGUCCAUGGUUCCUGUAGGGAGGAAUGGGCCUUCAGAGAUCCUAAUGAUGUUCCCCUUUUCUCUCCAGCAAACCAUCAGCCUGACUCUUCUUUGACGUCGCCAAGGCUUCUCACACCCGCUGGCUCAGCUCACCAGAGUCCUUUGCUGGCUUUCAUCUCUGACUUCUCUGAUAACCACACGACUGAAAAGUCCAGUGGAGGCUGAAAACCCAACCUGAGCCUUAGGAUGAAGAGAUACAUGAGCAAGGGCCAUGAUAUGAAAACAUGAAUCAGGAAGAUGGAGGGAGGCUGAGAGAACAGCAGAGACUGAUGCCUGACAUGGUUGCACUCAACCUGUUCUUAACUGAUGAGUUUGGGCGAGUUGAGUAACCGAGGAAUUACCAUGCAGUCUGCGUCUCUCUUGUGUAUCAGUUAUCAUUAGGGGUAAGUAAUUUUUAUAAAAAUGUAACAGUGCUUUCAGUAGUUUACUAUUAUGACUGAAACACUGCAUGCCAUAAAAACGUUAUAACCAUUCAUCAGUGUAUCAGCGACACUAGGCAAUAUAAAGUAAUCAUAUUGCCGCUUUUUUGUUAUCAGUGCAUGAAUCAUUAUGUUGGGCUGUCCAAAGAGUUCAUUCAAGAUUUUCAUAACAUAUGGAAAAACCUAAACAAACUUUUUGUUCAACCCAAUAUCUGUAAAUCAAAUUUGUUUCACAAUAUCUUUUAAUUUUUGGUGUCUAGUAUUAGUAAUACAUAUAACACCUGCAGUAUUUUGUAUCCACUAAAACAGUAUUGAUGUAGGUACUGACAAAUGAUUCAUCUCAUAAACAGAUGAUGGAAAUUUGUAGUAUCCUGUAGUAAAUUUAAUUUCCAUCCCUUAUAAUUUUCAUUACAUUCACUUUUUUGUAAGAAUUAUAUAAUACAUACAACCUACAAACUGGGUGUUAACUCUCGUGUUCUUUGUAAGGCUUUCAGUCAACAGUUGGCUGAGUAGUGAAGUUUGGGGGCAGUGACAAGUUAUAUGUAGGGACUUCCCUGGUGGUCCAGUGGUUAAGACUCUGCCUUGCAAUACAGGGGACACAGAUUUAAUCCCUGGUUGGGGAACCAAGAUCCCACAUGCCAUGGAGCAGCCAACCCCUGACAUGGCCAAAUAACAAGUUAUAUAUGGAUUUUCAACUGUGUGUGUGUGUAGGGGGGGGGCGUGGAGCUUAGCCCCUAACCUCUAUGUUGUUCAAGGAUCAACUUUAUUUUAAGAACUUCUGGAGAAGUUUGUAAAACCCGAGAGGCAGUACAUUGUGGUCACAAGGACAUCCCACUGUUGUCCAACCUGGGCUGAGAUGGUUAACCUCCCAGGCCUCAGCUUCCCUGCCAGUGAAACUGGGCAGCUUCUUGGUUGGGCUGUGAGCAUGGAGUGAGGGAACGUGUAGCAGGUGGUUAGCCAGGGCCUAGCUCAGCCUAAACUGCUUAGUAAUCGUUCGCUUUUCUUAUGUUGUUCUGUAUGUAUGUCAACCUGUAUUUUGUGUAUUCAAAGACAAGACCCACCUACUCUCAUUUAAACCCCACUGUUUCCCAGGACAACUUCCCAGGUGGCUCAGUGGUAAAGAGCCUGCCUGCCAGCGCAGGCACCGUGGGUUUGAUCUCUGGGUUGGGAAGAUCCCCGGAAGGCGGCAAUAGCAACCCACUCAAGUAUUCGUGCCUGGAAAAACCCCACUGACAGAGGGUUGCAAAGAGUGAGACGCAACUUGGUGACUAAAUCAUCACUAUUUCUCUGCACUUUGGGCACUGGCUAAACCAAAAGCACCUCAUCCCAGAGGCUCAUGCUGUGCCCAUCUGGUUUCCUGGAAUGCUCCUCCCUCCUUUCCUUCUCUUCAAGUCACAGCUACACGUCUGAGGCUCCAGGAAGUGCCCUGUCCUCUUUGGAGUCUGGUGCGACACUUCUGGCAGAAGCAUUCUUUAUUAACAACUCUACCCUGACACACACAGUAUCUACUUGGCAUCAUAACUAGUGAUAAAUGGUAUUUAGUCUUCUUGUUGGGUUGUUGGCCCGAGAAGACCUGGCCUUGGGAUAACUCCUCAUGUGUUGUGUGGAGUACGUGUGCACAAAUAUUUACAUACUGAGGAAGCUGGUGCUCGGAGGCGCCGGAUGUGGGCUUACCUUGAA